rnacentral:misc_RNA from 1 species
AAGUCGUAACAAGGUUUCCGUAGGUGAACCUGCGGAAGGAUCAUUAACACGUUAUCCACGUUUAUCAACCAAUACGAAGAACUGAACUCCCCGUUUUCCAAACCAAAUUCGAACGCUGUUCUGAUGAAUUAUUGUGGGUUCGACUAGAGACCGAGAAUGACGAAGCCUCUUCGGAGAUCUGACCUCUUGGACACUAGUUGGGCAUAUUCGUCAGAACUGCCACUCCUUUACUGAGAGUGGGGCUAGUAGAGACCGGAUUGGCGGGCUUACUUUUCAAUCCACCCCAACCACUUUGGGUGCUGGUGCGAAUUCCAUACCAAUUUCACCCUAUUUUACCUAUUUGACUAAUACUAAGCAUUCGUUGGAGAAAUCCUUCGAAUCGACUAAGAUUUAUCUUAACUAAGCACAACUCUUAGCAAUGGAUAUCUUGGUUCUC